GUCCCCGUAGCUCAAUUGGAUAGAGCGAGAGAUUUCUAAUCUCUAGGUUGUGCGUUCGAGUCGCGCCGGGGACA
rnacentral:tRNA from 1 species